UACAGAGGGUGCUAGCGUUGUUCGGAAUCAUUGGGCGUAAAGGGCGUGUAGGCGGUUUGUUAAGUCAUGUGUGAAAUCCCCGGGCUUAACCUGGGAAUUGCGCUUGAAACUAGGUCGCUAGAGUGUGGCAGAGGGGGGGUGGAAUUCCACGUGUAGCAGUGAAAUGCGUAGAGAUGUGGAGGAACACCGAUGGCGAAGGCAGCCCCCUGGGUCAACACUGACGCUCAUGCACGAAAGCGUGGGGAGCAAACAGG
rnacentral:rRNA from 1 species